rnacentral:rRNA from 1 species
AGUCUGAAACUCGAGUGCAUGAAGCUGGAAUCGCUAGUAAUCGCAAAUCAGAAUGUUGCGGUGAAUACGUUCCCGGGUCUUGUACACACCGCCCGUCACACCAUGGAGUUGGAAAUGCCCGAAGUCAGUGACCCAACCAAAAGGAGGGAGCUGCCGAAGGCAGGUUCGAUGACUGGGGUGAAGUCGUAACAAGGUACC